rnacentral:rRNA from 1 species
GUGCCAGCCGCCGCGGUAAUUCCAGCUCCAAUAGCGUAUAUUAAAGUUGUUGUGGUUAAAAGGCUCGUAGUUGAACCUUGGGCCUGGCUGGCCGGUCCGCCUCACCGCGUGCACUGGUCCGGCCGGGCCUUUCCCUCUGUGGAACCCCAUACCCUUCACUGGGCGUGGCGGGGAAACAGGACAUUUACUUUGAAAAAAUUAGAGUGCUCCAGGCAGGCCUAUGCUCGAAUACAUUAGCAUGGAAUAAUAAAAUAGGACGCGCGGUUCUAUUUUGUUGGUUUAUAGGACCGCCGUAAUGAUUAAUAGGGACUGUCGGGGGCAUCAGUAUUCAACUGUCAGAGGUGAAAUUCUUGGGUCAGUUGAAGACUAACUACUGCGAAAGCAUUUGCCAAGGAUGUUUUCAUUAAUCAGGAACGAAAGUUAGGGGAUCGAAGACGAUCAGAUACCGUCGUAGUCUUAACCAUAAACUAUGCCGACUAGGGAUCGGACGGUGUUAUUCAUGACCCGUUCGGCACCUUACGAGAAAUCAAAGUGCUUGGGCUCCAGGGGGAGUAUGGUCGCAAGGCUGAAACUUAAAGAAAUUGACGGAAGGGCACCACCAGGGGUGGAGCCUGCGGCUUAAUUUGACUCAACACGGGGAAACUCACCAGGUCCAGACACAAUAAGGAUUGACAGAUUGAGAGCUCUUUCUUGAUUUUGUGGGUGGUGGUGCAUGGCCGUUCUUAGUUGGUGGGGUGACUUGUCUGCUUAAUUGCGAUAACGAACGAGACCUUAACCUGCUAAAUAGCGGC